GCAUAACGCGAAGAACCUUACCAGGCCUUGACAUGCAGAGAACUUUCCAGAGAUGGAUUGGUGCCUUCGGGAACUCUGACACAGGUGCUGCAUGGCUGUCGUCAGCUCGUGUCGUGAGAUGUUGGGUUAAGUCCCGUAACGAGCGCAACCCUUGUCCUUAGUUACCAGCACGUUAUGGUGGGCACUCUAAGGAGACUGCCGGUGACAAACCGGGAGGAAGGUGGGGAUGGACGUCAAGUCAUCAUGGCCCUUACGGCCUGGGCUACACACGUGCUACAUGGUCGGUACAGAGGGUUGCCAAGCCGCGAGGUGGAGCUAAUCUCACAAAACCGAUCAUAGUCCGGAUCGCAGUCUGCAACUCGACUGCGUGAAGUCGGAAUCGCUAG
rnacentral:rRNA from 1 species